UACGGGGGGGGCAAGCGUUGUUCGGAAUUACUGGGCGUAAAGGGUUCGUAGGUGGCCAACUAAGUCAGACGUGAAAUCCCUCAGCUUAACUGAGGAACUGCCUUUGAAACUGUCUGGCUUGAGGCCGGUAGAGGGUAGUGGAAUUCCCAGUGUAGCGGUGAAAUGCGUAGAUACUGGGAGGAACACCGGUGGCGAAGGCGGCUACCUGGACCGGUUCUGACGCUGAGGCGCGAAAGCGUGGGUAGCAAACAGG
rnacentral:rRNA from 1 species